rnacentral:rRNA from 1 species
UACAGAGGUCCCGAGCGUUGUUCGGAUUCACUGGGCGUAAAGGGUGCGUAGGUGGCAUGGUAAGUUUGAUGUGAAAGCUCAGGGCUCAACCCUGAAAUGGCAUUGAAUACUACUGUGCUAGAGGUAUGCAGGGGAGAACGGAAUUCCUGGUGUAGCGGUGGAAUGCGCAGAUAUCAGGAGGAACACCGGUGGCGAAGGCGGGUCUCUGGGCAUUAACUGACGCUGGAGGAGCGAAAGCAUGGGGAGCGAACAGG